rnacentral:rRNA from 1 species
UACGUAGGGUGCGAGCGUUGUCCGGAAUUAUUGGGCGUAAAGAGCUCGUAGGCGGUUUGUCGCGUCUGCUGUGAAAACUCGGGGCUUAACCCCGAGCCUGCUUCUGAUACGGGCAGACUAGAGGUAUGCAGGGGAGAACGGAAUUCCUGGUGUAGCGGUGAAAUGCGCAGAUAUCAGGAGGAACACCGGUGGCGAAGGCGGUUCUCUGGGCAUUACCUGACGCUGAGGAGCGAAAGUGUGGGGAGCGAACAGG